rnacentral:lncRNA from 1 species
GGGGAAAAGAAAAGAAGAGAGCUAAGUCUAAAAGUGUAAAUUCAAAAGAACAAGUCCCUAGUUGGUUAAAUCAAAGGAAAGUAAGGAGAGUUCAAUGGGUGAGAGAUGAAAGAGGGAGUAUUUUGGGUUUGGGAAAGAAAGAAAAGAAUGGUAGAACUUAGAGCUACUUAGGAAAUGGGUAGAAUGAUGAGAACAAGCAUUGUAUGCAUGAAUUGCUCCUUUCUUAGAUAAAUUUUGCAUAAUGAUCUUGUUCCUAUUUUUGAGUGUGAGUCACUAUAAAUAAUGCAAUUGAAACUCAUUUUUCUUCACAUUAGACCAUAUUCUCUCACCAAGCCAAAUGAUUGAGAUCAAAUAUCCAUUUGCAAGAAUUCACCUUGUGUGUGUGUGAAUGAAUGUGAGAGUUGGCUAAGGAAAUUGUUGGUUGAAUGGCAAUGUAACUUGUGUAGAGACAAAAGAUUCUUGAUAGGCCUUGAGAAGCUAGAGUGCACU